ensembl:lncRNA
AUUAUCUCAUCACUGACUUGAGAACCUUCAGAGAUGAAUUAUAUCCAUUUCUUUUUAUUGGUAUUGGAUUUAUGGUUGAUGCUGUAUCACAAUCUCUCAUCGCUAAUGGAAAAUUAGAGAGCUUUGUGGAGGGGAAACGGGGAUGGGUCAAUAUUUUUGAGCAAUGACACAGCGAGUUGUGUAGGGGCGUGUAGCUGUAGCUCUCUUUUCUCCUUGUCUGCCUGUGAAGAGAGCACAGACGACCAGAACACUCUCUGCUCACAGUCAGACACCUUCCACAUCCUCCCAGACGAGGACUAUAGAGAACGGCUUCACCCCGCUCGUGUGUGUGUGUGUUAUCUGGAGUCAUAAUGAUCUACUACAGUAUCCUGUUCUCAUUGUGUCUGAUGGGCAUGGCCAGUGCUGAUAUUGAGGUAUGUCUCAAUGAGACCGCAUUGCAAGUGACAUGCAGUCCCAAAACAGGAAAGACUGCAGAUUGCGUCCUUAAAGCAGAGCAACCCGCAAACGUGGAGGGUAAAGAAUGCAAGCUGACCGUGCCUGAUGUCGAAAAAAAGAAAGCUUUCAAGAUCACCUGCGCUUUUGGGGAGGACAAAUUUGAAAAAGCUGUGGACAUGAGUAAGGAAAAGGAUUUGCAAGAUGAUAAAAAAAUUAAGGUGUGCUCUGGUGGUAGUGUCCUGCAGUUUGCUGGUGUGACUCUGCUGAUGACUCUUUUCACCCCUCUGCUCUCUGGGGUGCUGUGAGCAGAAAGACGCCUGAAGAAGAACUCACAUGUCCGGUUCUGUCUUGGCACUGUAGUCCAAUACUGUUGCACUGAGAAAAUUGUCCUUUCCUGCUGCCAACCACUAAGUGCUUUUGCAAUUUCGACUAGCAAGAAUAAUUAAUGUGGUAUUAUGUUUAUCUUCCAUUCUGAACGGAUGUUCUAUAGAAGCUCUUACUGAUAAUGGCGAUGAUAGCCUUUUUCUGCUAUCGGUUAAUCUGUUGUAUUACUUUUUCAUGUAGUAUCAUAAUGUACUAGAUUACAGUCUCCUCCAAAAGUAAUUGAACAGUGCAACUGUAGAAAGAACAUUUGGGUUUGACAGUAAAAGAUGAGUAUCAGACAAAAGAUCAACAUUUCAGCUUUUAUUUCCAUAACAAAGCUGAAUGUCUACGUUCGGUUUUAGAUUUAGGUUUUGCGUGUGCAGGCUGUGCAUUUAUAGUUACAGGAUUAACCAACAUUAAAAAACAGAGAGCUGGCUAUGGGUAAAAAAAAAGGAAUUUUAAAGCUUAGAGAAGAAGAAAAAUCAAUUUAUAGCCUGUACAACUGUUUGCAAUGUCCUGAAGAAGAAAGUCAUUACUGGUGUACUAGUAUGAAGUAAUUAUUAACUUUACAAAUGUAUUGAAAAGGCUAAAUUGUGAAAAAAGAAACAAGCUGCUCAUGAUCCCAAACAUACCAGCUUGUUUGUGAAACAUAGUGAAUGUAAUGUCAUGGCUAGGGCUUGCAUUGCCUCUUCUGGGAUGGGCUCAUUAAUCUUUAUUGAUAAUCUCAUGCAUGUGCAGCAGUACUAUGAACUCAGGAAUCUACAGAAACAUUUUAUAUGUUAAUUUAAAGAAAGAUACACUCAAACAUAUUGGGAAGUGCAGCAAAAUAAUGACCCAAGACUAAAAGAAAGUUCAUCAGGGUCAAGAAAAGCCUGGAAAAGCAUCAUAAAAGAUAAAGAUGGGAUUAGAUAAAAGGUGCUAUUAUCUGAACUGUGAAUCAGACCCAUCAAAAUAUAAAAAAAAAGAAAACUUUUAUCUUUUGUCUUAUACUCACAUUGUAAUGAACCCAAAUGUUUUCAGUCUACAGCAGAAAUAAAUGUACUGGCCUCACUGUUCCA